GCCCCUGACUGCUGCAUCCUGCUGCCUUGGGGAAUAUCAACCACCAAGCAGCAGUGUGCAGUGGUGAGGGUG
rfam:Branchiostoma floridae genomic scaffold BRAFLscaffold_32, whole genome shotgun sequence.